AUUGAACGCUGGCGGCAUGCCUUACACAUGCAAGUCGAACGGCAGCACGGGGGCAACCCUGGUGGCGAGUGGCGAACGGGUGAGUAAUACAUCGGAAUGUACCCAGUAGUGGGGGGAUAACUAGUCGAAAGAUUAGCUAAUACCGCAUACGCACUAUGGUGGAAAGCGGGGGAUCGCAAGACCUCGCGCUAUUGGAGCAGCCGAUGUCCGAUUAGGUAGUUGGUGGGGUAAAGGCCUACCAAGCCUGCGAUCGGUAACUGGUCUGAGAGGACGACCAGUCACACUGGGACUGAGACACGGCCCAGACUCCUACGGGAGGCAGCAGUGGGGAAUUUUGGACAAUGGGGGAAACCCUGAUCCAGCAAUGCCGCGUGUGUGAAGAAGGCC
rnacentral:rRNA from 1 species